CAGGGCUGCAGCAAACGGGUCCCUGCUGGCAGCAGAGUGAACCGUAGUUUUGUUACACCUGAAACCCUUCUGAGUGUGUUAUCCUCCUGUGCCCCAUCUCUGGAGGAGGAGGAGGAAAUCUCUGCUCAGUCCUGCAGCGCUAAUGAAUAACGACAUCUCUGAAACAACGUGUGACAGCACAAGUGAGAUUCUGCCACCUCUGAAAGAAAAAACAAUCCAGGCCUUAGUUUUUCCCUUGACUCCAGCUUAAAUCUCCAAGCCUGAAAUGGAAUAACAUUCUCAUGCGUUGCAGACACCUGAAAUACUUUCAAGCUGCUUCUCCACUGGGUAUAGGAGGCUGCCGUGCUGUUUAAAUUACCUGUGAAGAGCUAAUUGCAGCAGUACUGAGGGCUUACAGGAAGUUUAAGCAUGUAAAGCUGUAAUUGCAUUUGAGAAAGGGACAACCAUAUGUGCCCAAGCCACCCAAAGUGCAGAGUUACUCCAUUGAAAUACCUCUAGAGAUCAACCUUCUUCAAGACCCCUUGGGAGCUUUUGUUCUGGAUAUCAGCUCCUUGCACUGGUGUUUUGAGGCUUCUGCCCUGAGACAGGAUCCUUGUACCAGCCGGCACUGGACUGUCCAUGGAAGGGAAAUGGCAUAUGGCCUCUGGACUGAAUUGCCACUGACCAACACACCGACCGAGGGGACAGACCUACUGCGGUGCAAGUCCCACUGUGUUGCCAUCGUUGCUGUAUUCCCAGGUGAAGUGACAAGUUGGGAAAACACUUCAUCAAGCUGAACUUCAGCUAUUUGGAAACCAGGCUGGAGGUUUGAGCAACCUGGUCUAGUGGGAGGUGUCCCUGCCCAUGGUGAGGAGGUUGGAACUCGGUGGUCUUCAAGAUCUCUUCCAACUCUAACCAUUCUAUGAUCACAGCCCAGGUACAGCCGGUGGUUAAAACCUAUUUCAUUUUUCCCCUUCUUUUCCCGGUUUUUGUCCUAGUGGCCUCAUUUAGUUUGAGGUUUGUGGUGUCAUUUUCCUAUCUGAGCACGUUCUCCAUUCUCUAGAGCUGGUGGCUUCUUGUUGACAUCAGUGAAGUUACUUUCCGUUGACAGUUGAACUGAGCAGUUUCAUUAAUGCUCACAGCAUCUGUUUGGAAGCAGACACUCACUAUGAGGAAGUGUCCCUGCAAGAGAACAGGCUGGGUGUUUGUACGAGGCAGCUCCGUCACAGGGUGUAAUUCACACUACCAGAUUUAGAUUUUUCACCUUGAGAAACAGGAUUCAGUUUAUGUGUUUUCUUAACAAGGAGUUACUAUUUUACUAUUUGCCUGUUAAAGGAGUUUUACAGGCAGAGGUUACUCUUCUCUCUUUUCUUUUCACCACAUAACAAUGGAAAAAAUAUUGUUGUCCUGUAGCCUCCAAACCUCUGGAACGUAUCAAAACCACGAUUUGUCAUAAAAAAUGUGGUCGUGUUCUUCAAACCGUGGUGGGAAAAGAUCAGAAUUUCUUUUCUUUAAUGUUGCUCAGCAUUUUAGUUUGGGGUGAAUGCAGCUCUCCCAAGUUUUUCCCU